GUGAGGAAUAUUGCGCAAUGGAGGCAACUCUGACGCAGCCAUGCCGCGUGCAGGAAGAAGGCGCUACGCGUUGUAAACUGCUUUUAACCGGGAAGAAACCCCAGGACGUGUCCUGGGUUGACGGUACUGGAGGAAUAAGCACCGGCUAACUUCGUGCCAGCAGCCGCGGUAAUACGAAGGGUGCAAGCGUUAUCCGGAUUCAUUGGGUUUAAAGGGUGCGUAGGCGGAGCGUUAAGUCAGUGGUGAAAUCCUGCAGCUUAACUGUAGACUUGCCAUUGAUACUGGCGCUCUUGAGUGCGCUUGAAGUGGGCGGAAUGUGCCGUGUAGCGGUGAAAUGCUUAGAUAUGGCACAGAACACCAAUUGCGAAGGCAGCUCACUAAGGCGAUACUGACGCUGAGGCACGAAAGCGUGGGGAUCGAACAGGAUUAGAAACCCGGGUAGUCC
rnacentral:rRNA from 1 species